rnacentral:rRNA from 1 species
CCUACGGGCGGCAGCAGUGGGGAAUAUUGCGCAAUGGGCGAAAGCCUGACGCAGCGACGCCGCGUGAGGGAUGAAGGUCUUCGGAUCGUAAACCUCUGUCAGCAGGGAAGAACGGUCACUGUGCUAAUCAGCAGUGAAUUGACGGUACCUGCAAAGGAAGCACCGGCUAACUCCGUGCCAGCAGCCGCGGUAAUACGGAGGGUGCGAGCGUUAAUCGGAAUUACUGGGCGUAAAGCGCUCGUAGGCGGUAUGUCAAGUCAAGGGGGAAAUCCCCGCGCUCAACGUGGGAACUGCCUUUGAAACUGGCAAACUGGAGUGUGUGAGAGGAUAGUGGAAUUCCAUGUGGAGGAGUGAAAUCCGUAGAUAUCUGGAGGAACAUCAGUGGCGAAGGCGACUAUCUGGCACAUAACUGACGCUGAGGAGCGAAAGCGUGGGUAGCAAACAGGAUUAGAUACCCGUGUAGUC